GGCAAGACAUUUUUAUUUGCAUUCAUCUGGACAAUGUGUGUGCUUUAAAAUUUCCAUCACCCUGCCACUGCUUGUGAACUGUGAGCGUCUGGAGUUUCCAGUGAUACCUGCUUGCACGCGGCUGUGCUUCUGGUUGAAAAUGAAGAAAAGCUGCCAACAAGAUCAGAGGGCCAACUGGCUGAUUUUGAAACUUAACAGGUACUCUUACAGGUUUGAAAGAUUCAAAGCUCCUGAAACUUUUCAUUUAAAGCCCUGAGGCUUUUAAUUUGUUACAGACCAACAGUAGAAAUAGAACCAUUUACUAUAAUAACAGUGGCACUAAUAUCGUAUCUUCAAGAGAAAAGUCACACCCAAUGAAGAGAAAAGAGUCAACACACUUAGUGAAAACGUUUUACCUCACUAUGUAAAUAAAGAUAUUCAAAUUCA